CAGUAGCCACGGUAAUCCGUAGGUGGCAAGCGUUGUCCGGAAUUAUUGGGCGUAAAGGGCUCGCAGGCGGUUUCUUAAGUCUGAUGUGAAAGCCCCCGGCUCAACCGGGGAGGGUCAUUGGAAACUGGGAAACUUGAGUGCAGAAGAGGAGAGUGGAAUUCCACGUGUAGCGGUGAAAUGCGUAGAGAUGUGGAGGAACACCAGUGGCGAAGGCGACUCUCUGGUCUGUAACUGACGCUGAGGAGCGAAAGCGUGGGGAGCGAACAGGAUUAGAUACCCCAGUAGUCCCUGUCUCUUAUAC
rnacentral:rRNA from 1 species